AGGAGUUUUGAUACUCACCUAAGAGCUUGAGAAGAGUUAUGAUCCUAAAGUUGGAGGCGGUGGCGGUGGAACUUGAGAAGUUGUCAAGAACCAAACCCAACACUCACUGAGAUAAACAGGUGACAUGAGGGGGACUCAUUUUUGGGGGAGCUUAGGGAGCUUAUAUUUUGGAAUUUCUUUAUUUGCACUAUUUUGUAUAUGAGUGCUUAUUGAAUUAUUUUGGGAAUAUUUUGUAACUAUGGAUAUAUGACUUAUACGAUUGAUU